CUUUCACCUCCGCGAGCGCGGCUGAAGGGCAUGGCGCAGGGCGGUGCAGGCCGCAAACGCUUCCCCGCGCACGCUGCGGCCGGGGCCCGCGCAGGAGGUUCCGGGAUACUAAAUGCCCCACCUCCCCCGGCUCCUGUUCCUGCCCGCGCUAUUCUGGCUCCGGGCGGGGGGGGCGGGGCUUUCUGGGCCUUGGUACCCGGGUGGUGGGGCAGGAAACGAGCCAGACGGGGAGGCCGGCAGGGGGGCACCUGGGGGCUCAGUGGCCGAGCAUCUACCUUUGGCCCAGGCCCUGAUCCCGGAGUUCCGGGAUAAAAAUAAAAAGGUUAAAAACAAUUUGUGACAAAAUACUAACGGUUGUUACUUCUGGACGCAUUCUUCUAGGUAAAAUGUUGAUCUCACUAACGAAUGAAUGAAUACGAAAAGAAGACAUUUUCAUUCACAUUAGGAAGAGUUUUUUAAAGAGAGCUGUUCAAAGGUAGAAGCUCCCCAUUACUGGAGGCAGAUAUGGUAGCGGGUAAGUUUGAUCUUGAAGUCCUUACAAUCAGAUGACAGGGUGGAAAAGCUGGCCAACCGAGAGAGAAGCAGCAGAACGAAUGAAAGAAAGCAGAGGUACAAAAUAGCAUGGCACUCUGGCAAUUUUCAGUUGUUAGGACAGCUGGAACCCAAAGUACAAAGGGGACUGUGGUAAGAAAUAGGCCAGAGGGGCUAUGCUUCUCUCCCGUUGGCAAAAUUCCCAUUUUUAUUUCUGCAAUGAAGUUGAAAAGAAGUCUCAGGAAGUGAAUUUAAGGGAUGAAAUAGCUAGAUUAGCACCCCAGGAUGCCACUGACUUUGGGCUCUGAUCUUUUUAGGAGAUGAGUAAAUACAAUGUGUGAAAGGUCCUGGUGUUGGCCAGAAAAAUGUUGGCUGAAUCUGAAUGUGCAGCAGAUAUUCGGCAGACUGUGGUCCUGGAUAGAAAGAGUACUUCCGUAAAGUUCACUUAUGGAAGGCCAGGCUGCAAAAACCACUUAAAUUUGUUCACAUGAGGAAAGUUUAAGAAGUGGCAACCUUAUCAAAACUGUAGAACUUGCUGUUAGAAUAAAUGAACUGUACAAGAUGUCCCAAACUCAAUGCAAGCGUAGAUGUGGUUUACAUCUUCUGCUGACAGGCCAAACCAGUUCAUUAAAUAUUCCCCCUCCUUGGCUUUGUGAAUAUUGUCAUUGUGUAAUUUCAAUGAAAAAAAAAAAAAUCUCCUGGAACAAGGUGUAUAGAGUGGGGACAGUACACCAUCUGCUUGUGUGCACGCCAAUAGGAAAAGAGUAGGAGUUGGUAAUGAUCCAAAACAUUUUUGUUCAGAAAUACAAAAAGGCAUUUUAUUUAUAUUUCCCUUCGCACAUGAUUUUAAUUAUGCUUUAUAAUGACAAUGGCCAUCACAGGCUACAAAUAAUCAUACUGUUGGUAGACUUCCUGCUUCCUGCUUAAGCAAGCACGGGAGCCUCGCAAUCUCAGACAAUUUUAACAGGGCAAGGCGAGAUUUGUUUCAAAUGUGUUUUAUUGCUUUUGGAGGACAAGUGGCUUCUCACCAUGGUGACAAUCAGGUUGCUAGGCUGGGCAAGGCCAAGUUUAGAAGAAUGGUCCUCCAAACAGAACAAAUGAAAUGAAUGGCUCAUGCCACCAGCAACUUUCUUCAAGUUCUGAUUAAUUUCCCAUGAAAUAAUUGCUUGGAAUACAUCCCAGCAGUUCCUUUAUUCAUUGUUUCUUUGUCUUGCCGACAGGAGGGUCAGUCAAUACUGAAACAUACAGUCUGAACCAAGCAUAUGUGAUGCCCACUGCACAAUACACUGAGGUCAGUAACAAAGGGAUAAAGGGGUACUUCAGCUUCCAGGAGGUGAAAGGGAAUACAAAUUCACAGAAGAUUUCCAGAGGUGCCAGGCCGAGAAGGUAGAAAGUUUCCAUCCAAUUAAAAAGAGUCUUUUCUUUUCUGAAGAAAAAAGGAGAAAAGUCUAUUUUAAAUGAAUCAUUCUGGUUUAGCAAACAUUCCUCAGCUAAAGCUUCCCAUCUGCACUGUCCUGACCUGAGGAACAGUCAAAGCCAUAGUCAAAAGAGUGCAUUAAAUUCCACAUUUAGAAAAAAUUGAUAAUGAUACGCCAUUGCAUUAUCUCAAACAAUCCAAAUUCACCCAAUUGUUAUCUACCUACACUGUCCCCUGGCUGAAGCUGCCAGGAGAAUCAGCUAUGUGUCUGAAAGCGGAAAGGCAGCUAGAUGCUGUGAUAAUGGAGUAAGAUAUGGUAAAUGAUACAUAAUUGAUGGUUUUUAAAAUGUUUGUUUUGGUAAAAUAACAUAAUUUGCUAUUUAACCAUUUUUAAGUGUGAAUUUCAGUACCAUUGAGUAUACUGACAAUGCUGCUACAAUCACCACUACCCAUUUUUAAAACAUUUUUAUCACCCCAAAAGAACUCUGGAAAUAUUAAGCAAUAAUCCAUUCCACAUUCCUCUUCCCCCAUCCCUACUCUGUACCUUCUAAUUUACUUUGUCUCUAUGAAUUUGCCUAUUUUGGAUAUUUUAUACAAUCUUUGUCCUUUUGAGUCUGGCUUAGCUCACUUAGCCUAAGUUUUUCAGGGUUCAUCCAUGUUCUAAUGUGUCAGUGCUUCAUUCCCCUCUCCAGGUGGCCAGUAUUCUACUGCAUGUACACAUCACAUUCUCUUUAUCCAUUCUCUGGCUGAUAGACACUUGAGUUGUUUCCACCUUUCGGCUACUGUGGAUAAUGCUGCAAUGAGCACUGGUGUACACGGAUCUGUUCGAGUCCCUGUCUUCAGUUCUUUUUGGGUAUAUACCUCAGAGUCAAAUUGCUAGGUCCCAUGGUUAUAUCUGAGUUUUAAUAUAAUUAAGUAAAAAAGGCUCGUGGAUACAAUUAGAUAUGAAUCACAGGGAAACUUUAAUAAAAAAUUAUACAGAGGUGCCUGGGAGGCUCAGUCGGUUAAGCUCUGACUCUUGGUUUCCAUUCCAGUCAUGAUCUCAGGGUCAUGGGAUCGAGCCCUGCAUCGGGGGGGAGUCAGUCUGGGAUUCUCUCCCUGCCCUUCUACCCCAUUCCUUGCUCAUGUACACGGUUUCUCUCUAAAAUAAUAAAAAUUUUUUUAAUUAAAAAAAAUUUAAAGAUUUUAUUUAUUUAUUCGAGAGAGAGGCAGAGACACAGGCAGAGGAAG